rnacentral:rRNA from 1 species
UACGGGGGGGGCAAGCGUUGUUCGGAAUUACUGGGCGUAAAGGGCUCGUAGGUGGCCAACUAAGUCAGACGUGAAAUCCCUCGGCUUAACCGGGGAACUGCGUCUGAUACUGGAUGGCUUGAGUUCGGGAGAGGGAUGCGGAAUUCCAGGUGUAGCGGUGAAAUGCGUAGAUAUCUGGAGGAACACCUGUGGUGUAGACAGCUUACUGGACCAUCACUGACGCUGAGACACGAAAGCGUGGGUAGCAAACAGG